rnacentral:lncRNA from 1 species
UGCUACUUUCUAUAGAACUCUAAUUGAGCUCUUGAACGCGUAAGGUAUAGCAAAAAAAUUGAAGCAUGAAAUGACAUAUUUGGCUUCAAGUAAGUGUACUCUUCUAGCAACAAGAUUCACAUAGAUAUGAAAAGAUUAGAGAUUACAUACCUGAUCAUUCCAAUGUGUUACAAUUCCCAUCGUGCACAAGGAAUUCUUUAUGAGCACCACUAGCAUAUAAACACAUACAUUCCCUAGAAGGUUACUAUCGGCACAUAAAUAAGUAUCAAAACAGAACUUUGAAAUCUUGCUGCUUCAAUCAGGAUCGUGCCAGUAUAAAUAAUAUUUAUGCAUCAGAAAUGUUAACCUUGCUUGUUGCCAGUGGCCUUCCAAAGAAUAAUAAAAUUCAUAUGAUUUAUUCCUCUUCAACAGGUUUACAGAUUUUGUUGCUUCAAAAAUAAAAAUAUGAAAGUUAACAUCUUAAAAGAACUAUGAGAUAACAAAUAUUGUAGUAGGAAAAUAAUAUCCCAUCUUAAAGGAACUAUGAGAUAACAAAUAUUAUAGUAGGAAAAAUAUCCAAGCUAAAGCAAAGAAGUUUAAAUGGUUGUGUUUUCAAGAAGCUGUAAAUUGGAGAAUUUGUAUUCGACAGAAUGUAAUAGUACAUAGUACCACAUAAAAUUAGAAGAGCAAAUCAACCUCUGAUUGAGGGAGUUUAGAGCACAGAGCAAAAGUGAAAUCAAUGAACUCUUAAGAAAUAUUCACAUACUAGAUUAUUGACAAUGAAGAUCGAGGGAAGUAGUAUGAUAUAGAACCAGAAAACCAUGAAAGUUAUAUCAGAAACCAGACUAGGAAAAAGCCCUUCUCAAUGCCACUGACACUUGAAGCUAAUCAUCAGUUGGACCAACAAACAAAACCCAAAAAGUAUCCUUCUAAAUUCAUCCCAUCAGAGAAUUUAAUCAGAAACAUGAAAUUACCCAAAAAGAACUCACAAAACCAAACAAAAAAAAAAAAAAAAAACCUCGAAAGGCAUAAUUGAUGAAUUGACCAUACAUAAAAUGGAAAUGUAGGUCGAAGCUCGUGCAAUAAAAGCACAACCAAAAUCACAAACCAAAUUUCAAAAUUACGGAGAUAACUACAAUCAAAUUUGGAAAAACAAAGAGAACAUUCUCUCUCACUCUAAGAACAUAAUUUCUAAAAUAAUCAUACAUAAUAAAAUGAAAAAGGAACCACAAACCAAACACAAAAAGCACAACUUACUUUAAAAAUUUGACCCACAGAAUUCACAUAAACAAAUCUAGUGAAACCCAAGAUUGAUCAUCCAAAGAACAAGACAGACUAAAGAUCCGUCAAUGUUAAUCCAAAUGUACUAAAAAGAAUGUGGUAAUCAUAAAGGCACAGGAACAUACAUAAAAUGAAAAAAUGAACCAUAAAUCAAACAUUAGAAGCACAAAUUACAUUAAAAAUUCAACUCAAGGAAUUCACAUAAACAAAUCCAGUGAAACCCAAAAUUGAUCAUCCAAAGAAAAAGAUAGACUAAAAGAUCCUUCAAUAUUCAUCCAAAUGUACCAAAAAGAAUGUAAUCAUAAAGACACAAGAAUUACAUACAUAAAGAGAAUAUUAUCUUGAUAAGAAACAUAAUUGUUGAAAUAAGCAUGCAUAAAAUAAAAAGAGAACCCAUACCUUAUCAAUUAUCCUUAUUCAAUCCCUACACAAAAAGCACAAAUUCUAUUAAAGAUUCAACAAAGUCCACAAAGAAUUUAGAUAAAUAAAUCUAGCAAACCAAAAAUUGAACCCAGGAAAAUCCUUCAAUGUUCAGGCCAUUGUACCAAAAUAGAAUGUGUAAAGAAAAAAAAAAUUAAAGAAAAAGGAGAACAUUAUACACUCAAAAUACAAUUGCUGAAGUAACCAUACAUAAAAUGAAAAGGGAACCCAAAACUUAUCAAUAUUCAAACCAAACAAAAAUUCCAUCAAUGAAUUCAGCCCAUAUAUAAAUUCACACGAUAAUUGCAAAUACAGUAAAGGACAAAUCCUUCAAGAUCCAUCCAAAUGCACCAAACAACGCAAUUACAAAGACAAAGGAAUUACACAAACAACAAAGAACAAUGUCACUCGAGGUACACUCAAUUGCUGAAAUAGCCAUAAAUUAAAUGAAAUGAAACACCAAACACAUUAAAGAUCCAGCGAAAACUCAAAGAAAUUUCACAGAAAUAAUUAUAGUGUGAUCCAAAAAUGAUCAUCAAUUCAACCGAGAAAAUAUCUUACUAAAUUCAUCCAAAUGAACCAACAAAGAACAUUAUUGCAAAGAAAAUGAAAUUAUAGAAACAAGAGAGAACACAAUUUUUGAAUCCCAAAACUUAGAGAUUCGAUGAAAAUCCUCAGAUAAUACAAAAAACAGAAUCCACUGAAAGUCUGAAACCCAUUUUAUCAUCAUAUAGGUUAAAAAUUUGUCGUGAAAAUAUGACUGACCUAUUUUUUAUCGAGAAUCUUAUUAUUACUUACCUCUUGAUUUCUCUGGAACAGAACUGACAUCCAUCUUCAAGAAUCCUUGUCUAGUUCUUGAUAGAAUAAUCAUGAGGCAACCGUCAAAACUGCAGAAAGAACCAUACAUAAAAUGAAAACCCUCAGAAAAUUCUCCAAAAGAAAUCCAGUGAAGCCCAAAAUGAUCAUCCGUUCGACCAAAGAACAAUGCCCUGAAUUGAAACUAUCCAUCUAGAUUCAUUCCAUGUAUGAAUAAAGAAAUAUAAUCAUAUAGCCAAAGAAAUUAUAGAAAUUGUCGUACAAAGUGACUCUCUGUUUUUUUAUUAAUUUUCUAAUUCUUCCAUCUUCAAAAAUACUUGCCCAGUUCCUCUUGAGAGAGAAACCCCAAAA